rnacentral:rRNA from 1 species
UACGGGGGGGGCAAGCGUUGUUCGGAAUUACUGGGCGUAAAGGGCUUGUAGGUGGCCAACUAAGUCCGACGUGAAAUCCCUAGGCUUAACCUAGGAACUGCGUCGGAUACUGGAUGGCUUGAAUCCGGGAGAGGGAUGCGGAAUUCCUGGUGUAGCGGUGAAAUGCGCAGAUAUCAGGAGGAACACCGGUGGCGAAGGCGGCAUCCUGGACCAUUACUGACACUGAAAAGCGAAAGCCAGGGGAGCAAACGGG